GCGCAGCAGUCGAGAAACCUCCGCAAUACACGAAAGUGUGACGGGGCCAUCCCGAGUGCCGUCCGCUGAGGACGGCUUUUCCCCAGUGUACACAGCUGGGGGAAUAAGGAGAGGGCAAGCCUGGUGUCAGCCGCCGCGGUAAUACCAGCUCUCCGAGUGGUGGGGACGCUUAUUGGGCCUAAAACAUCCGUAGCCGGCUGGGCAAGUCCUCCGUUAAAUCCAACGAUUCAAUCGUUGGGCUGCGGGGGAUACUGUCCAGCUUGGGGGCGGGAGAGGCCGACGGUAUUCCCGGGGUAGGGGUGAAAUCCUAUAAUCCCGGGAGGACCACCAGUGGCGAAGGCUGUCGGCUAGAACGCGCCCGACGGUGAGGGAUGAAAGCUGGGGGAGCGAACCGGAUUAGAUA
rnacentral:rRNA from 1 species